UUGCUGGAACGCGCUUCGGCGCACCCAGAAACCCUUUGUGAACUUAUACCUUACUGUUGCCUCGGCGCAGGCCGGCCUCACUGAGGCCCCUCGGAAACGAGGAGCAGCCCGCCGGCGGCCAACCAAACUCUUGUUUCUUAGUGAAUCUCUGAGUAAAAAACAUAAAUGAAUCAAAACUUUCAACAACGGAUCUCUUGGUUCUGGCAUCGAUGAAGAACGCAGCGAAAUGCGAUAAGUAAUGUGAAUUGCAGAAUUCAGUGAAUCAUCGAAUCUUUGAACGCACAUUGCGCCCUCUGGUAUUCCGGAGGGCAUGCCUGUUCGAGCGUCAUUUCAACCCUCAAGCAUUGCUUGGUGUUGGGGCACCGCCUGUAAAAGGGCGGGCCCUGAAAUCUAGUGGCGAGCUCGCCAGGACCCCGAGCGUAGUAAUUAUAUUUCGUUCUGGAAGGCCCUGGCGGUGCCCUGCCGUUAAACCCCCAACUUCUGAAAAUUUGACCUCGGAUCAGGUAGGAAUACCCGCUGAACUUAAGCAUAUCA
rnacentral:rRNA from 1 species